GGCGGCAAGGGAAACAAAGAUGACGGCGCUUGGCCCGGUGGCGCGGAGGGCCCGCCCGCCCGCCCGCCGCUAUUGUGUGGCCGCCUGACGGAGCAGCAGCGCUAUUUUUCUUACUCCCAACGUGGUGAUCCGGUGGCAGCAGAGGGACUUACAAGGAGGCUUUGUCUGCAGAAGAGCUGCUGCGACACGGCCUCUCCUGAAUGGCCGCCCGGCCGCCUUCCGCGGGCACCGCCCGCAAUUUUUUUUUUUUUUCCCAUAUCAAUUAGAGGGGGGAAAAAUCUGCAUUUUCCUCCCCACCUUUUUCUUCAGAUUUGAGCCCCGGUGUCUGCCGCAGGAAAGAGCUGCCACCCGCCUUGACUUUACCUCCUUUAUGUUAGUCGUCAGCCACCCGAAAACUGUUGACGUAACCGAGGGCUUUAUGGGCCCUUCAGCAGCAUCCAGAGCUGUCUCGGGAAUAAUGAGGAAACGGUGGAGCCUCUUAGAAGACUGGCGAAAAGGAUACCCUGGGCCAGUGUUUCCCUGAGAUUCACUUACAUGUGACUACAAAUACUGGAAGUGUCUCAUCUGAUGUCUGCUGGGAUUAUACUGAAAAUGAAUUUUUUAAGAACGCAACUGCGUAGUUAAUGCAGUUCAAGCUGUUUCCUGAGAAACAGAAAUAACCCUAGGCCAGCACUACGUCAAAAAAAUCAGAAUUAUGGUCAUGUGUUCUGCCCUUUCUGCCUAACAUAAAAAUAUAGAAAGCAAUUUAACAUUUAACAUACAUGUUACUCAUCACCUAUUUUCUGCAUUUUUUUUUUAUCAAGGAAUAGUCUAUACAUGGUAUUUUUAAUACUGAAAGGUAUGUGCGUUAGCACAGCUCAUCAUGAAGGGAUCUGAAAUUCCAGUUCUGCUAACUGAUGUCUCUGCUGCCAUUAAGAAAUUGCUUAAUUUGGUGUGGGUCACUUUAACCUGUCAAAAAUGGGAUAAUAUAUGAGUGCUUCCCAAUGGGCAAAGGUGGUGAAGCAUUACUAUAGUAAAUGCUUAGGAAUACAGACACGUGUCUAUGUAGCAAUUCAGUAUUCAACAAAUAUUUCAUAAAUAUUUACUCCUUGCCUAAAGAAUAACCAGGGAUGUGAUUCCAGGUUUGGGGGCCUUCACUUCCUACUCUCAUACCCCUUGAUUCACUCUGGAGUUCUUUCUUAAUUCAAGGGAAAAAUCCAGACAACUAAAGAUGCAUACACAAAAAAGUACGGGAUCAGCAGAAGUCACAGUGAUGGCCUCAUGAGUGGGCAGGAGGGGAAGCUCAUCUGCUCCCUGCUCACGGGUCUGUAGGAUGUAUUGGUGCCAAAAAGCUUGAGAACAAAAUGCAACACUCUCCUUGGAUCCCCUACACCCUCAGGGUGCUCUCCCGAGCUCAUCCCAUGCUGGAGAGGCUCUGGCUCUCAACUCAGACCAGCAGCUUUCCCACUGAGCACAACCUCCCACCAGCCUUUGGUCCCAGACCUCCUCUCGGCUGGAAGAGGAGCUGGAAGGGAUGUUGGCCAAGGGUAACUUUCUGCUAAAUUAAAUGAGACCCCUUGUCCAAAACAGCAUUUAAAAUUAUAGUCCCGGGAUCCCUGGGUGGCGCAGCGGUUUGGCGCCUGCCUUUGGCCCAGGGCGCGAUCCUGGAGACCUGGGAUCGAAUCCCACGUCGGGCUCCUGGUGCAUGGAGCCUGCUUCUCCCUCUGCCUGUGUCUCUGCCUCUCUCUCUCUCUGUGUGUGACUAUCAUAAAUAAAUAAAAAUAAAAACAAAAAAACA
rnacentral:lncRNA from 12 species